UAGGAACUGGGCAAAGGAGAUAGAACGUGUUCAAGGUGUGUUUCUGUGUGUGCACUUGUGUGCAUGUGUGUGCCUGUGUGAAUAAUGUGCACUGUGUGUAUAUGUGUGUUUGUGUGUGUGUGUCUAUGUGCGUGUCUAUGUUCCUAUACCCUAUACCACAGAAUCAGAGCACUUAAACCAGAAAUACUCCUCGUCAUGAAAAACAACACCCUCUGGAUGACGAGAUUAAUCCAAGCAGCUGCCUGGAAAGCUAUUUGGAGAUGGGGUGAACAGUGUUUUGCAGAAGUCCAGCAACUUUUUC
rnacentral:lncRNA from 1 species